rnacentral:rRNA from 1 species
AACGAACGCUGGCGGCAGGCCUAAUACAUGCAAGUCGAACGCACCGCAAGGUGAGUGGCAGACGGGUGAGUAACGCGUGGGAAUCUUCCUUGCAGUACGGAAUAACUCCGGGAAACCGGUGCUAAUACCGUAUACGUCCUUCGGGAGAAAGAUUUGUCGCUGCAAGAUGAGCCCGCGUCGGAUUAGCUAGUUGGUGGGGUAAAGGCCUACCAAGGCUACGAUCCGUAGCUGGUCUGAGAGGAUGAUCAGCCACACUGGGACUGAGACACGGCCCAGACUCCUACGGGAGGCAGCAGUAGGGAAUAUUGGACAAUGGGCGCAAGCUUGAUCCAGCCAUGCCGCGUGAGUGAAGAAGGCCUUAGGGUUGUAAAGCUCUUUUGGCGGGGAAGAUAAUGACGGUACCCGCAGAAUAAGCUCCGGCUAACUUCGUGCCAGCAGCCGCCGUAA